GUGAUUAAUGUUAGAAUGACACUCUUUUGGAGAGUUGCCAGUUUGCUACGAUUGAAAGAUCUUUUGAUGUUUCUUAUUAGACUAAAAUAGACAUACAUGCUUUUUAUCGACAAAACUAUAGGUUACUUAUCCACACAAUAGUAUAAGUGAUGAUUACGGUAGUACAAAUGUGACGAUAUAGGUGCAGGGCGGUGCGCGCGCUGGUGGCGGGGCGAAGGCCUACGGGGGUGUGUACACUGCCACCACGGCCGCCACCUCGUACCCCACGCAGCCCUACAGCGCGCCCGCCGCGCAGCCCGCCAAACCUCUGUACAAUGCCGCCACUAUGUAUGUCGCGCAACAAGCUAAGACUGGAGGGGGCAGCGGUUGGAAGAAUUACAACAAGGGCGGCGUGGGCGCGGGGCAGUCGCGG